ACUCAGGGCAAGAUGUCUGAGGUAAUAUCUUUUAUUUGGCCAACUUCUAUUGGUGGAAGGGAAGAGGUCUGUGUGGCUUGAAAUCUUGUCCCUUCCAUCAACAGAAGUAGGUCCAAUAAAUAUAUUACCUCACCCACCUUGUAUC